UUUGAUGGCGACCGGCGCACGGGUGAGUAACACGUAUCCAACCUGCCGAUGACUCGGGGAUAGCCUUUCGAAAGAAAGAUUAAUACCCGAUGGCAUAGUUCUUCCGCAUGGUAGAACUAUUAAAGAAUUUCGGUCAUCGAUGGGGAUGCGUUCCAUUAGGUUGUUGGCGGGGUAACGGCCCACCAAGCCUUCGAUGGAUAGGGGUUCUGAGAGGAAGGUCCCCCACAUUGGAACUGAGACAUGGUCCAAACUCCUACGGGAGGCAGCAUG
rnacentral:rRNA from 1 species